rnacentral:rRNA from 2 species
AGAGUUUGAUCCUGGCUCAGGAUGAACGCUAGCUACAGGCUUAACACAUGCAAGUCGAGGGGCAGCAUGGUCUUAGCUUGCUAAGGCCGAUGGCGACCGGCGCACGGGUGAGUAACACGUAUCCAACCUGCCGUCUACUCUUGGACAGCCUUCUGAAAGGAAGAUUAAUACAAGAUGGCAUCAUGAGUCCGCAUGUUCACAUGAUUAAAGGUAUUCCGGUAGACGAUGGGGAUGCGUUCCAUUAGAUAGUAGGCGGGGUAACGGCCCACCUAGUCUUCGAUGGAUAGGGGUUCUGAGAGGAAGGUCCCCCACAUUGGAACUGAGACACGGUCCAAACUCCUACGGGAGGCAGCAGUGAGGAAUAUUGGUCAAUGGGCGAGAGCCUGAACCAGCCAAGUAGCGUGAAGGAUGACUGCCCUAUGGGUUGUAAACUUCUUUUAUAAAGGAAUAAAGUCGGGUAUGGAUACCCGUUUGCAUGUACUUUAUGAAUAAGGAUCGGCUAACUCCGUGCCAGCAGCCGCGGUAAUACGGAGGAUCCGAGCGUUAUCCGGAUUUAUUGGGUUUAAAGGGAGCGUAGAUGGAUGUUUAAGUCAGUUGUGAAAGUUUGCGGCUCAACCGUAAAAUUGCAGUUGAUACUGGAUAUCUUGAGUGCAGUUGAGGCAGGCGGAAUUCGUGGUGUAGCGGUGAAAUGCUUAGAUAUCACGAAGAACUCCGAUUGCGAAGGCAGCCUGCUAAGCUGCAACUGACAUUGAGGCUCGAAAGUGUGGGUAUCAAACAGGAUUAGAUACCCUGGUAGUCCACACGGUAAACGAUGAAUACUCGCUGUUUGCGAUAUACUGCAAGCGGCCAAGCGAAAGCGUUAAGUAUUCCACCUGGGGAGUACGCCGGCAACGGUGAAACUCAAAGGAAUUGACGGGGGCCCGCACAAGCGGAGGAACAUGUGGUUUAAUUCGAUGAUACGCGAGGAACCUUACCCGGGCUUAAAUUGCAGAUGAAUUACGGUGAAAGCCGUAAGCCGCAAGGCAUCUGUGAAGGUGCUGCAUGGUUGUCGUCAGCUCGUGCCGUGAGGUGUCGGCUUAAGUGCCAUAACGAGCGCAACCCUUGUUGUCAGUUACUAACAGGUUCCGCUGAGGACUCUGACAAGACUGCCAUCGUAAGAUGUGAGGAAGGUGGGGAUGACGUCAAAUCAGCACGGCCCUUACGUCCGGGGCUACACACGUGUUACAAUGGGGGGUACAGAGGGCCGCUACCACGCGAGUGGAUGCCAAUCCCAAAAACCUCUCUCAGUUCGGACUGGAGUCUGCAACCCGACUCCACGAAGCUGGAUUCGCUAGUAAUCGCGCAUCAGCCACGGCGCGGUGAAUACGUUCCCGGGCCUUGUACACACCGCCCGUCAAGCCAUGGGAGCCGGGGGUACCUGAAGUGCGUAACCGCGAGGAGCGCCCUAGGGUAAAACUGGUGACUGGGGCUAAGUCGUAACAAGGUAGCCGUACCGGAAGGUGCGGCUGGAACACCU